rnacentral:misc_RNA from 1 species
GAACGCACAUUGCGCCCUUUGGUAUUCCGAAGGGCAUGCCUGUUCGAGCGUCAUUAUCACCCCUCAAGCCCCGCGCUUGGUGUUGGACGGCCGGUUGAGCGAUCGACCCCUCCUAAAGACAAUGACGGCGGCCUGUGGUUCCCCCGGUACACUGAGCUUUUCAUCGAGCACGUAUCGGACAAGGGCACCCGGGACCCGGUCCUCUCCUUUAACUAGGAAACUUCUAAGGUUGACCUCGGAUCAGGUAGGAAUACGCGCUGAACUUAAG